GCCAUUACAUACAUCCUUUGUUCAAUUUCUAUGGCUUCUUCAUCCAUAACUUUCUUCACAUCUCUCCAUUGCUGAAUGCUGAUCACUUCUUCAAUAAUUCAUCACUCUAAAUUUUCUUCCACUUAUUACAAGAGAGUCCAAGCAAAUCUUUUCACUCCUAAUUGAAGGCUUGAAGGAUAUUUUAGUUUUUGAGAAUUUUUUUGGUGAGAAGUUCUCCACUACAUACAAGUCUACAACGCCAGAAGGUAGGAUAUAUUGAUUAGUAAACAAAAAUUGCAAGUUACCUCUUCUCAAUUUUAAUUCAUGUGUAAGGAUUUAGAUC